rnacentral:lncRNA from 1 species
GAAAUUAGAAAUGAAAAAUUGGUAGUGUUGUGACCGGAGAUGCAUGAUAUAUUGAGUUAUUUUAAAUUCAGGUGUUAUUUUUCUUUUCUUUUUUUGGGGUGAUGUAUGCGAAAUCAGAUGAGUAGAACUGUAGAAAUAAAAUAUGCGGAUAGACAAAAAUUGUUUUUAAUGUUUGGGAAAUGUGACGUUGUUUUGUGAAAAAUCAAGAAAAUAAACAGUACAUGCAAUGGCAAAAGUAGCACCGUCCGUUCUGAUAGAUUUUGAAUGGAGCCGGGGCGAGCGCCUUCUUUUUAAAGGAAAAGUGACCUAAGAUUUCUUUC